rnacentral:rRNA from 1 species
GGGUUGUGAGGUUAAGCGACUAAGCGUACACGGUGGAUGCCCUGGCAGUCAGAGGCGAUGAAGGACGUGCUAAUCUGCGAAAAGCGUCGGUAAGGUGAUAUGAACCGUUAUAACCGGCGAUGUCCGAAUGGGGAAACCCAGUGCAAUUCGUUGCACUAUCGUUAACUGAAUACAUAGGUUAACGAGGCGAACCGGGGGAACUGAAACAUCUAAGUACCCCGAGGAAAAGAAAUCAACCGAGAUUCCCCCAGUAGCGGCGAGCGAACGGGGAGCAGCCCAGAGUCUGAAUCAGCUUGUGUGUUAGUGGAACGGUCUGGAAAGUCCGACGGUACAGGGUGAUAGUCCCGUACACCAAAAUGCACAGGUUGUGAACUCGAAGAGUAGGGCGGGACACGUGGUAUCCUGUCUGAAUAUGGGGGGACCAUCCUCCAAGGCUAAAUACUCCUGACUGACCGAUAGUGAACCAGUACCGUGAGGGAAAGGCGAAAAGAACCCCGGCGAGGGGAGUGAAAAAGAACCUGAAACCGUGUACGUACAAGCAGUGGGAGCACCUUCGGGUGUGACUGCGUACCUUUUGUAUAAUGGGUCAGCGACUUAUAUUCUGUAGCAAGGUUAACCGUAUAGGGGAGCCGCAGGGAAACCGAGUCUUAACUGGGCGUUAAGUUGCAGGGUAUAGA